rnacentral:rRNA from 1 species
UACGGGGGGGAGCAAGCGUUGUUCGGAUUUACUGGGCGUAAAGGGCGCGUAGGCGGCUUGUUGCGUCAGCUGUGAAAACCCGCAGCUCAACUGAUGGGCUUGCAGCUGAUACGGGCAGGCUUGAGUUCGGUAGGGGAGACUGGAAUUCCUGGUGUGAGCGGUGGAAAUGACGUAGAUAUCAGGAGGAACACCGGUGGCGAAGGCGCACAUCUGGCCCGAUACUGACGCUGAGGCGCGAAAGCUAGGGGAGCAAACGGG